rnacentral:rRNA from 1 species
ACCUAAAUAAGAUCUUACAAAUAAUACCUCUUAAUAAAAACACUUUAACAAUUAUCUUAUUUAACUCAUAAUUUCAAAAGUACUAUAAAGGAAAAAUUAAAUAUAUUAAAGUAGUGAUGAGCCCACGUACCUUGUGCAUUAUGGUUUUACAAGCAUAAAAUUAAAUAUGAACUUCCCGAAUGCUACGCGAGCUGCCCUCUCAUAGCUAAGAGCCCCCUAUUAGUUAUAGCACCAACUUUAGAAAAUGAGAUGGCAGAGGCUACAUACCACCCGCGCUAGAAAAUUGCUGGUCAUCAGUAAAACUUAUAAAUUAAACCAUGUAGAACUUUUACAAUGUUAAAUCUUAGAGGAUAAGCCCUAAGAUUGCAAGCUAAUUUACUCUAAUUAGUUAUAUAUAGGCCUAAAAACAGCCAUCUACAGUACUUUACCGUACUACCACCCCAAUACAUAAUAAAUUUGCUCGUAAAAACUGAUAUUUAAGAAAAAUUCCAAACCUUAAAAUAUUAUGUAAAAAUAAGUAUUAAGAAUUCUCCCUAAACAUAGACAACACAAACACUUAUAAAGGAACUCGGCAAAUUCUUAUUUCGACUGUUUAACAAAAACAUUGCUUCUUGUAUA